GGCCCAACCCAAAUUCUUGAAGGCAAGGCCCAAUAAGAAGAUUCCAAGCCCAAUCAAGAAAUCCACCCAUACUUAGUUGAAAAUCAGGCCAAAUUGUCAAAGUGGCCCAAGUUGUAAAGUUUUAUUUUUAUUUUUAUUUAUUUAUUUAUUUAUUUAUUUAUUUAUUUAUUUUUACUUAGUUUAAUUUUUAUGUAAAUAUUCAGUCCCAGAAUCCCAAAUAAAGACCCUUGGCUGAAUUUCCAUAUUAAAAUAAUUAGGAAUUUUUUUUAUUUUAGUUUUCUAAUUAGAUUAGGACUAGUUAUAAGGCCUAUUUAUAUGGAUUGGCCAGCCACCCUACAUUACAUUACAAUUACAUUAAAAAUUUCAGAUUUGAUUUGAGUGAAAAUUCUCUUUGAGUUCUCCAAGGAUUUUCUCUUGAGUUUUCUUUAGAAGUUGUUUUAACAAUCUUUUUGAUUGUGGGAGCCAUCUUCAACCUUCUUCUUGCCAUUGAUAUUCUUUGGAGGGGAGAUUAGAGCCGUUUGAAGGGAGUUGUGAGAUCUUUCGGGAUUUCAAGGCUUCUUAGGACUUAUCUUUUAAUUUCUUACUAUCAAUUCUUUCUUUAUUUCUGCUUGCGCUGAAUCUUUAUCUAAUUUAUUUUUUUUGUUUUUAUUGUGUUUCAGCCUUUUUCUAUCUUAAGGAAUCAGCCCAAAAAAAUCUCCAAUUUCUAGGGUUCUUCCAUACUCUUUUUGGGUAAAAUCAGGUUGUCGAAAUUUGG
rnacentral:lncRNA from 1 species